rnacentral:rRNA from 1 species
UAAUUCUCUUGUUAUUUAUUUAUUAGUUAAUUUUUAACUAAUAAAUUUUAUUAAGAAAUAUUUAAAGGGAUGAGCUUUUAUUUAUAUCACUAAAAAUUAUUUAGAUUUUAUAUUUUGUAUAAUUUAGAUUGUUAAUCAUAUAAAUAAUAUAAUAGUUAAUUUUAUUAUUUUUAAGAUUUAUAUUUAUUUUAGUUUUUAUAUUAAAAAUUUUUGUUUAAUUUUUUUUCUUUAUUUAUAAUGAUUAAAUUAGUAGAUAAAUAUGUAUUUAAUUAUUUUUUAUUUAGGUAAUAAAAAGGAACUCGGCAAAUAUUAUUUUCUGCCUGUUUAUUAAAAACAUGUCUUUUUGAUUAUAAUUUAAGGUUUGAUCUGCUCAAUGAUGUAUUUAAAUUGCCGCAGUAUUUUGACUGUGCAAAGGUAGCAUAAUAAUUAGCUUUUUUAUUGGAAGCUGGAAUGAAUGAUUGGACAAGAAAAUUUCUGUCUCUUUAUUAUUUUUAUUUAAUUUUACUUUUAAGUUAAAAGGCUUAAAUUUAUUUAAAAGACGAGAAGACCCUAUAGAGUUUAAUUUUUAAUAAUUUGGAAUUUUUUUUGGAAUUUAAAAAAUUUUAUUUUUUUAAUAAUUUGGUUGGGGUGACUGAAAGAUAAAAUAAACUCUUUUAAUUAUAAUCAAUUAUAUUUGAAUUUAAAAUCUAUUUUUAUAAGUUUAAAAUAAAUUACCUUAGGGAUAACAGCGUAAUUUUUUUUUAGAGUUCAUAUUAAAAGAAAAGUUUGCGACCUCGAUGUUGGAUUAAAAUUUAUUUUGGGUGUAGAAGCUUGAAUAUUAAGUCUGUUCGA